rnacentral:rRNA from 1 species
UACGGAGGAUUCAAGCGUUAUCCGGAUUUAUUGGGUUUAAAGGGUGCGUAGGCGGUCGGAUAAGUUAGAGGUGAAAUCCCGAGGCUCAACUUCGGAAUUGCCUCUGAUACUGUUCGGCUAGAGAGUAGUUGCGGUAGGCGGAAUGUAUGGUGUAGCGGUGAAAUGCUUAGAGAUCAUACAGAACACCGAUUGCGAAGGCAGCUUACCAAACUACUUCUGACGUUGAGGCACGAAAGCGUGGGGAGCAAACAGG